GCACUGUGACGCCGCCGGCGCGCAAUGCGCAAGUAAUGGCCAUCCGUGCGCUGAAAAUCUGCUAUUUUGAGCGGUGGAAAAUUUCCACAUUUUCCCUGAAAGUUUCUGCGUUUUUUUUUUUUUGUUCGGGUUGUUCGUAGUUGAUGGAGGAUGAGCUGAUGAUGUUUAUGUUUCCCUAUUGGUUUGAUUGCCGUGAUGAUGGCAACGCAUCUAUGCUGCUUACGAAAUCUUGUUCUUCGGCGGAGUUCCGAUGCUCAUUGAUCGGCAAGCUCACCACUUGACCGGGAUUAUUUCGAGUUUUGGAGAAUGAGGUGAUGAACAUAUGAUUCCCUAUUGGUUUGAUUGCCGAUAUGAUGGCAAUGAAUCUGUAUUAGCUCUAUCUGAUCAUUCUCCAGACCGUUGUUCCUGUCGACAUCUCCCAUUUCCGUUUUCUGAAUUACCGGUGAAGAGCUGCCGUCCUUUCCAGUCCAGAAUUAUGUUGCUGAUAUUUGUGUAUUAAUGCUGCUUCUCCCUUGAAUCCCUGACCGAACAUAUCACGAGUUCGGCUUCCAUAGUUUUACUUGAAACAUGAACUUUAAGGUCUCAUUGCAGGAUCCCGGUCUUCUAUUGCAGAUAGGAGUUAGGGGCGGAUAUUAUGUUAUCAGGACUUCGGUUUGAUAAUGUCUGCUUGCUUUCUUGAUCCAAUCUGUAGUUUUGUUCUUGCUCAUUGUUCCGAUAUUCACACUGAUUGGCAAAUGACAUAAGUUUACGACUUGACCAGGAUUCGUUCUGGUUUGGGGAAUGAGGUGAUGACAGAUAUGAUUCCCUAUUGGUUUGAUUGCCAAUAUGAUGGCAAUUCAUUUGUAUUAGCUCUAUCUGAUCAUUCUCCAAACAUAUCGCAUGCAUCUAUAAUUUUUCUUCGUUAGAUUUUGUUCUGUUACGACCUUGCUAACUCUUCUGUGUAUCCAGUGUGAGAAGGACUGAUUGGUGCAGAUGAAAGACGGCGAACAGCAGAACCGGGACUUUCCAAACUAAAGGGGUUCGGAGAUGUGUCAUUUGCUUGUUUUGCUUGGUUGCAGAAACUGUAUAUAGCAAAACAGUUUCAUCUUGCAUUACAUGAAUUUUUCUUCGUGUACUGUAGGAAGAUAGAAAUAAUAAUGAACUCUGCUCCGAUUUUUGCAGA